AUGUUUCCUGAGCUUUCUGCUGUCGACUGUCAUUACAGGCCAUUUCUGGAAGAGCUUCUGCUAGGACUGGUAUGGAUUGGGAGCGAGGUAUCUUUCCUAUCUGAUUCCUGGACUGCUGAAGAACAGCUACACCGACGCCCUCACACAGGCGUACUUCCUCACAUUCAUCUUAGGUCAUCACACCUCACUGGAGGCUUCCCUGCUUUAAUGAGCAGCUCAGAAACCACGGAGAGAACUGGAGAAUGGAAGUUGUUGGACAUUGUUGUGUUUGAAAACAGCUCCAUAGCAUUCAUAAGAGGAUUCUUGGCACCUGCCUAG
rnacentral:lncRNA from 1 species